AACAGUGGCAUCAUGUUGCGACUGAACUUGGUGCAGAAAUACUCCAAGAAGUCUGCAGACAUGAGUAACGCCUGACAUUCUGCAUCCCAGUUGAUGCAGAAUGUCAGAACAUUAUGGAUGAAAAGCUCUGCUAGGCAGAGAAACACCAGAGUUUUAUACCAGAGAUAAAGAAUUAACAACAAGUGGAGAGACAGUCUGGUUCUGAUGCAGCUGUAGAAAAACAACUUCCAACCUUCUACAUGAAACCCAAAUAGUUCUUUUGGUGAGAGUUCAUAAACAUUUCAUAUAACAUGACUAGCAGAUGUCUUUCCUCUUCUGUUGUCUUUUGUCAUGUGUCCCUUCAGGCAUGCCGUAUGGAGAAGCUGGCUACCUUCAUGGGCCAUGAAAAGGAUUUCAGGAGAUUCUAUCUUGAUUGCUGAAUUGACUAUCAGAUCACAGAGGCAUCAACACAGGCAGGUUGCAUUAAUAAAAUAUCAACGCGGGUUUCAACGUUUUAGACUUUUUGCAUAGACAUGAGUGUGAAUGUGUUUCUGGUUGAAGAGUGAGAAUAUUGGUUGCCUGGAAUUGCAAAAAUGUGACCAGGAAGAGAUUAACAGAAAUCUUGCAGCAUGAAGUCCAAGAGCAGCCAGAAGCAGUUUGGCGUUGGAUCCUGGAGGCAGCAGGAAGAUUUGAUAUGAACUGGUUCAGGUGGGCCAACAGGAGUCUCACCAGAACCUCCAUGAUGUGGGUUGUCAUGGCAACAGAUCUGCAGUCAUUGAUGACUAAAGUCCAUCAGAAAGCAGCUGAAGUUCAGUUCAAGUCUCCAACAUUAACUCUGAUCAACAUGGACUAUUAUGGUCUGUUUCUGCUCAUCGUCUCUCUACUAACAGGUGUCAGCUGUGAUCAACUUACUCCUCUUGAUAAGGAAGUCUUCAGAUUAGACGGCAGCUCUGCUAAGGUGUCCUAUAAAUCUUCAAAACAAGCAACAACUGAUUAUUUCUUCUGGUAUCGUCAAUAUUCUGGAAAACCUCCAGAGUUCCUGAUUUCCCACACAGGAAAUGGAGCAAAACUCCUGAAUCCGGUUUCUGGUUUCUCCUUCAACGUGAGUGAUGAUAAAACCCAGAUGGACCUGCUGAUCUCCUCUGCUGCAGUGACAGACUCUGCUGUGUACUACUGCGCUCUGCAGCCCACAGUGACAGGAAACACCAGAACCCUGUACAAGAACCUGCAGUACUCCACAGCAGCCACCAGGGGGCGCCAUGCUCCAGUAGGCGGCGCUCUCCUGGUGCUCUGUGUUCCAGCAUUGUGUCAAUAA